rnacentral:lncRNA from 1 species
UCGGCUCUUGGAUCAUAAGUGAAUGCAUCAUAUGCAAAAAUCUUAAGUCUUGACAAUGUAUAUCCAAUGUAUCAUUCCAAGGCUCCGUGCAUCGCAUGCAUAGGAUUUACAAUUUCAUACAAAAUCAGAUCAUAGGAUCUAACUUAAACUUGUCUCACAAGUCUAAAGAUCAUGGAAUCUCAUACCCAAGUUCGAUCAUAGACUGAUAGCAUUUAUUCUUAAAAAAAUAAGUAA